rnacentral:misc_RNA from 1 species
GAUGAAGAACGCAGCGGAAUGCGAUAAGUAAUGCGAAUUGCAGAAUCCGUGAGUCAUCGAAUCUUUGAACGCACAUUGCGCCCUUUGGUAUUCCGAAGGGCAUGCCUGUUCGAGCGUCAUUAUCACCACUCAAGCCCGGCUUGCUGUUGGUGGCAGCGCAGCCGGUCAACCGGCUACGCUCCACCCAAAGAUAAUGACGGCGUCUGCGAGGACUCCUGUACAUUGAGCUUUCGGGCACGUACAUGGCUAGAAGUCCAGGCGCCGGUCGACGUCCUCCGGGACACUUUUUACCAAGGUUGACCUCGGAUCAGGUAGGGAUACCCGCUGAACUUAAGCAUAUCAAUAAGCGGAGGA